UAUCUUGAUCAAGAUAGUGUGAAGCUUUUGAGAAUUUGUAGUUGUCCUCCAUUGAUGAAGUUUUGUUGAAUUUCCCUCAUUUUUUUUUGGGAAACUAGAAAUUUGAAAAUAUGGGAGAGACAACAUAUACAAAUUUUGCUUCCACACUGUUGAGUAAAAGAUUGUGAUGCAAGUCACACCUUGUAGUAGUCGAAGGUUUGGAUGAACCAUAGUCUUGAAUUUGCUUCGAAUGUUUGAGAAUUGUAGUUGCCCUCCAUUGAUGAAGCUUUUGUUAGCAUCAUAAAUUGGUUUUGCUUCACACUGUCUUGAUCAAGAGUGUGUGAAGCUUUUGAGAAUUGUGGUUGAACUCGUUUGAUGAAGCUUUUGUUGGCACCAUAAAUUGGUUUUGCUUCACACUGUCUUGAUUAAGAGUGUGUGAAGCUUUUGAGAAUUGUGGUUGCCCUCCAUUGAUGAAGCUCUUGUUGGCACAAUAAAUUGGUUUUGCUUUACACUGUCUUGAUCAAGAGUGUGUGAAGCUUUUGAGAAUUGUGGUUGAACUCAUUUGAUGAAGCUCUUGUUGGCACCAUAGAUUUUGCUUCACAUUGUCUUGAUCAAGAGUGUGUGAAGCUUUUGAGAAUUGUGGUUACCCUCCAUUAAUGAAGCUCUUGUUGGCACCAUAAAUUGGUUUUGCUUCACACUGUCUUGAUCAAGAGUGUGUGAAGCUUUUGAGAAUUAUGGUUGAACUCUUUUGAUGAAACUCUUGUUGGCACCAUAAAUUCGUUUUGCUUUACACUGUCUUGAUCAUGAGUGUGUGAAGCUUUCUACGAGUUGUAGUGUUUGCAUUGUUACAGAGGGGAAAUGUCUGAAGCAGAUGCAAGAGGGCUGAAUAACUUGAUCUUCGU
rnacentral:lncRNA from 1 species